ensembl:misc_RNA Metazoa_SRP Metazoan signal recognition particle RNA
GCCGGGCGAAGUGGCGCAUGCCUGUAACCCAAGUCACCCGGGGGCUGAGGUUGGCGCAUUGUGUGAGCUGAGACGCUCUAUGUCGAACGGGUGUCUGCACUAAAUUCAGUAUCGAUAUAGUGCUCCUGGGAAGGCCGGGCCCUCCAUGUCGUCUAAGGAGGGCUGCACUGGCCCAGGUUGGAAACGAAGCAGGUCAAAUCCCAGGUGCAGUCCAGUAGUGGGAUAGCGUCUGUGAGUAGACUCUGCAGCGCAUCAUUCGCAAGACUUCA